CAAGAUGAGGGCAAGAUGAGCGUCAGAGGAUUAUUCAGGCUGCUGACCUACAGUGGCCCCAGAGCCACCUUAUAGUACCCCCUGAACAAGCCAGGAACAGACCCAUCCCUGCCCACAGCCUCAUAUGGGGUUAUGGUGCUCACAGGGUUAUGGGUCAUGUGGAGCCUCGGGGUCACGCGGAGUAGUAUGUGGUACUGGGCUCAUGUGGGGUUAUGGAUCAGGGCUCCACCUUUGGGCUGCAGGGAACCCAAUCCCCUCUCAGGAAGAAAUCAAUGAAUGCACUCCAGCACUACUCCACAUCCUCCGUUCUGACCCCAAACCGCUCCCCACGAGCCCCCAGACCCCCCACGUACCCAUGCCACCUGACGUCCCCGCACCCACAAGUCCCACCUGUACCUCACACCUUGCCUUCUCCUGUGAAGCACUCUGCUCCUGUAGGCUGUGGUCCACAUCCCCUUAUCCUCCCCAAAUCCUCCCAUGUUCUGAUCCGUGUUCCCCAGUAUCCCCAGUACCACCCACUUCACUUUCUGAGACCCACAUCUGUGCCCUACACCUUCUCCAGCUCCUCAUUCCUCACCUGCAGAAGCCAGCCCUGCCACAGCACUGUGAGGUUGUACGGGAUCUGGAGGCAGGUCGGGGGAGGAGAGGCCAAAGGUGGGCUAUGGGGGUCCUGGGAUGGUGAUGGGGGUCCUGUCAGGGAACAUGGGGGUUAGUGAGUUCCCAGGGAGGAUCUUGGAGGUGUAAAGGAGGUCUGAGGGAGGAAAUAGGAGGAUUCCGGGGAAGCCCAGUGGGGCACAUGGGGUGCUGCUGGGGACUGUGGGGCUCCAUGUGGGUAUGGGCCAGCUACGGGGGAGGUGUACUGGGUCUGAGGGGGUCCUUGAGGGGCUCCAAGGCUCUGUGGGGGGGCUACAGGCUGUCUCUAGGGGUCUUGCGGGGAAACACUGGGAGGGACAUUGGGGCUCUGAGGGAAUGAUGGGUGGGCUGUCAUGAGAAAGGAAAGGGCAGCCUUGUGGAAAGCAAGGGGACAGCUGGGGGAACAACAGGGGAACGUCCCAGCAACGGACUUCUUCUUUCACAUCCACAUCUUCUGCUUCCCAACUGAGCUGCAAAGCUGCCAGAGGAGCUGCAGUACCGCUGCCCAACUCCUGCCUGUGUCAGAAAGAGCUGUGCGUGAGCAGAGUGCAAUUGCCAUUCUAAAGCCAACUCCAUCACUGCAGUCACAAAAGCACAACCUUCAGUAUCUGCUACAGGCAGA
ensembl:lncRNA